CCAAUAGCGUAUAUUAAAGUUGUUGCAGUUAAAAAGCUCGUAGUUGAAUUUCGGGAUUGGCGCAUCGGUCGUGCCUCACGGGGUAUGAACUGGUGCAGUCAAUUUCUCACCUUCUGGAGAACCGCGAUGUCCUUAAUUGGAUGCCGCGGGGAACCAGGACCUUUACUUUGAAAAAAUUAGAGUGUUUAAAGCAGGCAUUUUUGCUUGAAUACAUUAGCAUGGAAUAAUAAAAUAGGACGGCAUGGUUCUAUUUUGUUGGUUUCUAGGACCACCGUAAUGAUUAAUAGGGAUAGUUGGGGGCAUUAGUAUUCAAUUGUCAGAGGUGGAAUUCUUGGAUUUAUUGAAGACUAACUACUGCGAAAGCAUUUGCCAAGGAUGUUUUCAUUAAUCAAGAACGAAAGUUAGGGGAUCGAAGACGAUCAGAUACCGUCGUAGUCUUAACCAUAAACUAUGCCGACUAGGAAUCAGACGAUGUUAAUUUUUUAAUGACUCGUUUGGCACCUUACG
rnacentral:rRNA from 1 species